rnacentral:tRNA from 1 species
GGGGCCUUAGCUCAGCUGGUAGAGCGCCUGCUUUGCAAGCAGGAUGUCGUCGGUUCGACUCCGUCAGGCUCCACCA